AUUUAAUUCCUUCCUAUGAUCUCGCGCUGGGUAAACGGAAGGAACGUUGUGCUUUGCGAGUUGGUAAACGGCGUGUGAUACAUUUGCUCUGCUGAUUGCGAAACCGUUUGCCAGAAUAUACCCUGACCGUAUACGGACCGACUGUCAGUCAUGACCGAAAGUGAGUAACUUUAGUAACUUGUGGAUCAGCGCUGACUCAAGACGCGAACUGUUUAGAACGAAUCAGUCUGAUUUGGUGAACCGGUUCAAAAGAACGAUUCGUUCCCGAAAUGGCCAUCACUAUUUCUGUGGCGCUUCGCCUCGACUCCAUUUUGUUGCCCUUGGAAAAGCAACAAAAACUUUAACAACACCAGACUGAAACUGUGAAAAUAACCAAUAACAAGGCUUUUGGAUGAAAAGUACGUUUUUUUUUGUUUGUUUUUUUUUUUAACCACAAACGUCUUUAUAUUUUGUUGAACUCGUGUAAACAGCAGUAAGAAACCCGGAAGUGAAGUGAACUUCUGUGUGUUGUUUUAUCUGCUAUGUGCUGAAGGAGAAGAGAUCAUCAUCUGCUCAUAAGUUGUCUUAAUUUGUCAGUGCAUUCACUAAUAUUCAAACAUAGAUUUAUUUGGAAUGAUCUGGGAAUCAGUGAAAGGAAUUGUGGAGAGAUUAUUCUUACCAGAAUCCAGCUAUAACUCUAUGAAGAGGAAUGCAUCUUUGGAUUUUCUUUGGAACUUUAGAAAUUACACCUCAUCUAUACGCAGGUUGAAUCGUUGUGGUAUUUCAGAUGAAAGAUCACACCCCUCACGCCCGAGAAACCCACGUCUGUAUGGGAAGGAAAUGAAAGACUCAUGACUAGAGUGUUACUCUGUUCCACAGACAUUGCAUUUGUGAUGAACGUCUUGAUUGGUGAAUGAAGUGAAGACUCCAGUGUUGAACAUUUCCAUGUUACCACUUCAUUAACAUCUAUUUGACAUAUUUAAACUUACUCAUGCUUGCAAUUAUCUGCCAGUCAUUUAUUUAAUCAGGCAUUCAUGCAGUAUAUACGCAGACGCACAUAAAUACAGACACAAGACUUACUCAGUCUGCAUUUAUCAGCUAGCUAGUGUACCGUAUUUCAUGGUAUUUAGUGAUAAGGAUGAAUCCUCCCAUACAGACUGAACACUGAACCAGGAUCUCAGCUCUAUUGUGAUGCCGGUGAUCUCAGGAUCCACAUCGGAUACGUGAGCAGUGUAAAACCACCGGAUCACUGUAUAUUCUAUUGGAAUACAGAGGAUCACUUUUAUCCACACGGUGUGGAAAAGAUGGAGUACAGUACAGUACAGGAAUAUAGAAUUCAUAUAUUAUAUGAAAAUAUAUAUUCUUAUAUUAAAAUGUGUUAACUCAUG